rnacentral:rRNA from 1 species
GAUGAACGCUAGCGGCUGGCCUAACACAUGCAAGUCGAGGGAUAAGCCUUCGGGCUAAGACCGGCGCACGGGUGCGUAACGCGUAUACAAUCUGCCUUUUAUCCGGGGGAUAGCCCGAAGAAAUUUGGAUUAAUACCCUAUGGUAUAAGAGCACGGCAUCGUGCACUUAUUAAAGCUACGGCGGUAAAAGAUGAGUAUGCGUUCUAUUAGCUAGUUGGAGAGGUAACGGCUCCCCAAGGCGACGAUAGAUAGGGGUUCUGAGAGGGAUGUCCCCCACACUGGUACUGAGAUACGGACCAGACUCCUACGGGAGGCAGCAGUGAGGAAUAUUGGACAAUGGUCGGAAGACUGAUCCAGCCAUGCCGCGUGCAGGAUGACGGCCUUAUGGGUUGUAAACUGCUUUUGUAAGGGAAGAAUAAGGAGUACGUGUACUUUGAUGACGGUACCUUACGAAUAAGCAUCGGCUAACUCCGUG